AAUUUGAUGUAAAGGAUAAAGAGAAAAACCUUCAUAAAGUAGAGAAGGAAAAAACAAAAAAUUAGUAACUCUAGUUAAAAUUUUUACGUUACCCUCGUAAUUCAACGAAAAAGGAUAAGGAAAUGCAAUAUGUAAAGUUUCUAGAUAUUUUUAAAUAAUUUAAAAUAAACAUCAUAUUUCAUAAGCCUUAGAGAAAAUUCCUCCCAAUGAAAAGUUC
rnacentral:lncRNA from 1 species